rnacentral:rRNA from 1 species
AGAGUUUGAUCCUGGCUCAGGAUGAACGCUGGCGGCGUGCCUAAUACAUGCAAGUCGAGCGAACGGACGAGAAGCUUGCUUCUCUGAUGUUAGCGGCGGACGGGUGAGUAACACGUGGAUAACCUGCCUAUAAGACUGGGAUAACUUCGGGAAACCGGAGCUAAUACCGGAUAAUAUUUUGAACCGCAUGGUUCAAAAGUAAAAGACGGUCUUGCUGUCACUUAUAGAUGGAUCCGCGCUGCAUUAGCUAGUUGGUAAGGUAACGGCUUACCAAGGCAACGAUGCAUAGCCGACCUGAGAGGGUGAUCGGCCACACUGGAACUGAGACACGGUCCAGACUCCUACGGGAGGCAGCAGUAGGGAAUCUUCCGCAAUGGGCGAAAGCCUGACGGAGCAACGCCGCGUGAGUGAUGAAGGUCUUCGGAUCGUAAAACUCUGUUAUUAGGGAAGAACAUAUGUGUAAGUAACUGUGCACAUCUUGACGGUACCUAAUCAGAAAGCCACGGCUAACUACGUGCCAGCAGCCGCGGUAAUACGUAGGUGGCAAGCGUUAUCCGGAAUUAUUGGGCGUAAAGCGCGCGUAGGCGGUUUUUUAAGUCUGAUGUGAAAGCCCACGGCUCAACCGUGGAGGGUCAUUGGAAACUGGAAAACUUGAGUGCAGAAGAGGAAAGUGGAAUUCCAUGUGUAGCGGUGAAAUGCGCAGAGAUAUGGAGGAACACCAGUGGCGAAGGCGACUUUCUGGUCUGUAACUGACGCUGAUGUGCGAAAGCGUGGGGAUCAAACAGGAUUAGAUACCCUGGUAGUCCACGCCGUAAACGAUGAGUGCUAAGUGUUAGGGGGUUUCCGCCCCUUAGUGCUGCAGCUAACGCAUUAAGCACUCCGCCUGGGGAGUACGACCGCAAGGUUGAAACUCAAAGGAAUUGACGGGGACCCGCACAAGCGGUGGAGCAUGUGGUUUAAUUCGAAGCAACGCGAAGAACCUUACCAAAUCUUGACAUCCUUUGACAACUCUAGAGAUAGAGCCUUCCCCUUCGGGGGACAAAGUGACAGGUGGUGCAUGGUUGUCGUCAGCUCGUGUCGUGAGAUGUUGGGUUAAGUCCCGCAACGAGCGCAACCCUUAAGCUUAGUUGCCAUCAUUAAGUUGGGCACUCUAAGUUGACUGCCGGUGACAAACCGGAGGAAGGUGGGGAUGACGUCAAAUCAUCAUGCCCCUUAUGAUUUGGGCUACACACGUGCUACAAUGGACAAUACAAAGGGCAGCGAAACCGCGAGGUCAAGCAAAUCCCAUAAAGUUGUUCUCAGUUCGGAUUGUAGUCUGCAACUCGACUACAUGAAGCUGGAAUCGCUAGUAAUCGUAGAUCAGCAUGCUACGGUGAAUACGUUCCCGGGUCUUGUACACACCGCCCGUCACACCACGAGAGUUUGUAACACCCGAAGCCGGUGGAGUAACCUUUUAGGAGCUAGCCGUCGAAGGUGGGACAAAUGAUUGGGGUGAAGUCGUAACAAGGUAGCCGUAUCGGAAGGUGCGGCUGGAUCACCU